rnacentral:rRNA from 1 species
UACAGAGGGGGCAAGCGUUGUUCGGAAUUACUGGGCGUAAAGCGUGCGCAGGCGGCUUUGCAAGACAGAUGUGAAAUCCCCGGGCUUAACCUGGGAACUGCAUUGGUGACUGCAUUGCUGGAGUAUGGCAGAGGGGGGUGGAAUUCCACGUGUAGCAGUGAAAUGCGUAGAGAUGUGGAGGAACACCGAUGGCGAAGGCAGCCCCCUGGGCCAAUACUGACGCUCAUGCACGAAAGCGUGGGGAGCAAACAGG